rnacentral:rRNA from 1 species
CCGUGCCUACGGGACGCAGCAGUGAGGAAUAUUGGUCAAUGGGCGGGAGCCUGAACCAGCCAAGUCGCGUGAGGGAAGACGGUCCUAUGGAUUGUAAACCUCUUUAGGCGGGGAGCAAUGCCGGGCACGCGUGCCCGGAGGGAGAGUACCCGCAGAAUAAGCAUCGGCUAACUCCGUGCCAGCAGCCGCGGUAAUACGGAGGAUGCGAGCGUUAUCCGGAUUUAUUGGGUUUAAAGGGUGCGUAGGCGGGUUUUUAAGUCAGCGGUAAAAUGUCCGGGCUCAACCCGGGCCGGCCGCUUAAACUG